GUCUGACAAGGCAGGAGGAGAGACCUACCCUGAGAGCCCCUGGAGAAGGGCACUACAGAAACUACCUUCAACAGAGAAAGAGCCUGCCUGCUGAGCCCAGAGGGGCUGAAGCAGAUACACAAGAGUCUACACCAGCACCACAUUUCAAAAGCUUCAAUUUUCUUCUUGUCAGCAGCAUUAACUUUCCCCACUUCAUAUCUAUAAAUUGUUAAGGAGAAAGUUAGGCUUUCAUCAGUCACACCUCUGUACAUUUUCAGAUGUUCUUCUACACUUUAAGGGAGGUCACAGCUGAGCAAGCAAUCCCUACUCAUCUUCCCAUUUCAUUUGGAACAGUCUCCUUGAUUGGACUUAUGUGAGCCCAGAUAAUUAAAUUCAUCUGCCUGAUGGUAUAACAAAGAACCAUAUUGACUCUGUAAUGAUACAGCAACAUUGGAGAUCAAGUAUCCAAUGGACAAAGACUUUCCUGGGUGUCUGAUCCAUAAUCUGCAAACAGCUGUUCACCUCAAACAUCAAAUUAAAAUGUAAAAAAGAUAUGACAUUCAACAGGUCCACUGCAUUUGGACUUGUCCAGAAUCAACAAAAAUUAUAACUUUUGUCCAGAAUGGCGUUGAGCAUUGGCACAGGUGAAAGAAGAGAAUAACCCCAACAAACUUUAGAGUAAAAUGAAAACUAUAAUGCUUGAGGCUGCCAAAGCACACAUUCCAAAAAGUCAGUAUCCGAUUGCAUCAUGGUUUACUGAGCAAGUGUCUGAGCUGACAGAAAAACGAGGUAGAGUGACGGAGAAUGACUUGGAGACAAAAGAAUGUAGGAGAGAAUAUAUGGAACUGAGCAGACAGAUUCAAAGGCAGAUGAGAGAAGAUGAGCAAAUAUAUAAGGGCAAAAUGCAUGGAACUUGAGAACUAUAAAGAGUAAUAAUACAAAAGGUAUGUUCACAGUUGUGAGACUUCUCAACAAAAGGUUUUCCCUAUAAUCAAACAUGAGCAUGAGGGCAGAGUCCUCACUGAGGGUCAUGAUAUUAAACACAAGGGGAGAGAUUACUGUGCCAGUCUGCCAGCCUCACCAGAGCCACUCAUAAUACAAGAAAAUGGAAAAGAGAAUCUGGAGCCAAAGCCAUCAGUCAUGCAAAAGCACGUGGCUCUUGCUGUCAUGACAAUGAGGCCUGGGAAAGCACCAAGAAUAGAUAACUUGCCAACAGAUCAGUUAAAAGCAACUGGCAAAUGUGGUCCUGAUAUUACGUGGAAAAUUUGUAAUGAUAUAUGGAUGACUAGAAAUUGGCCAGAUGACUGGCCAAAGGGAAUUUUUCUGUCCUUGCCAAAAAAGGGAGACAUAACACAGUCUAUUAACUAUCAAACCAUCUCCCUGAUAUCACUCAGGAGCAAAGCUCUGAUCAACAUAUUUAGGAUUGCAUGAAACUAAAGACAGAAGCAGAACUAGCACCACAACAAGCCGGUUUCAGAGGGGACUGAGGCACACAUGACCAAAUCAUGAAUAUCCGUCACAUCAUUGAAAAAUGCAGAGUGCAGUCACACACUGAUCAUGUGCUUCAUUAACUAUUAAAAAGCUUUUGAUCCAGUCCAGCACAAUCAUCUUUGGAGGAUACUGGCUGACAUGGGGAUUCCAGAGCAUCUCAUUGAACUCGUCACAAGUCUCUACCAUCACCAACAGACCACAGUAUCAACUGCAGUAAAUCCACUUAAAGGGUCACUUCUCCCAUGGUGCCUACAGAACACAGCCAUGUGAUAACAGCUAAGCAGGUGAUGAGCAGAGAUUACUGAUAUUGAUCAUCUUAUUAUACCGAUGUAUUGUGCACCCAGUUGGUCUAUGCAAAACAUACAUGAUUUACUAUUACCCUGUCCUAUUACCCAUUCAACCCUCCACCCAUUUGUUUUGUGUUUUUGUCUUUAAGGUUGUGUGCUCUUUGAGGUAGGGAUUAUCUUUUGCUAUAUAUCUGUGCAGCACCUAGUACAAUAUGUCCCGAACCUGGCUGGAGGCACUACUUAAAUACAAACAAAGACAACAGUAAUUAAUAAUAAACUGACACACUGACCUGUCUUAAACAGUACAAGGAUUGUCUGGACAGUCCAGUUAAGGUGUCUGUCCAUUUUAAACUGACAAUCUGUACAGAAACCUGUAUUACAUAAAGAGACCUUAAUUCAUUUUAAUCCCACCAUCCACCAUUUUCACUAGCAUUCAUUUUACCAUGACCCACCCUUGUGGUUCUUCUCCAUCCCCACAUCCUCGCUGAAUAUUACCCUCUAUGAAAUCCACAGAUCUGUGUAGGGUGACCAUACAUCCUGUUUUGACUGGGACAGUCCCUUUUUUUAAGCUCUGUCCCACCUGUCCUGACUCCCCCCCAGCCAAAAGGAGGCAUUUGUUCUGUUUGCUCUUGCUGACUUGAUCAGUUGGCAAGAACAAAUGGGACAAAUGCCCACUUUUGUCAAAAAAGUGGGGUGCAGUGUGGAGGAAUGUUGGGGGGGUGAGCAGAGAUACCAGCCCUUCCCGCCCCGCAGUUCGGAGGCAGAGCUGGGGAGGGGAGGCAGUGUUCCAGCAUGGGGGUGGGGGGGCCGCAGGGUUCCAGCGACCAGCAGACAGUCUCCGGAGGCCCCCCUCCUCCCUUGCAGCAUUCUAGCCACGGGCAACAGUCUUGCGGUGGGGAGGGCAAAGGGGGAAUCGGGCAACUGGCUGCGGGUGUCCCAUUUUCUCUUUGGGAAAUAUGGUCACCCUAGAUCUGUGGCAUACUGUCUAUUAACUACUUCAGGUAUUCCUCUCUGAACUUAUUGAGUUUACUAUACAGUGCUGUGAUUCGCUUCUUGUGAGAAGAAAGGCUACCACUUGUGUGCCUAUCACCAGUUCACUGGGGGAUAAGUCCUCAUGUGAUCUUAAAAGUGGGGAGAGUAAACUCCUAAUCUAUACCAGGAAUGGAUACGGGCUGGGACUGCUUUUUCUAUAUAAAUAUGUACGGGGGUGGCAGGACCUGGGAUGAUUGACAGACUGACAAGUCCCUGGCAGAAAGUGACCUGAAAGGAGCAGGGUUUUAAAUACAAGGUUUGCUUUCUUGAGAAGUCAGAGAGUACAGUGGGUAGGAGAGAUCAGCUAUAAACAAAUCUCUGGCCUAGAAAAGCAGGAAGUGUCUGUGCCUUUGAUCAAAGCAUUUGGGUUUUUGCAUUGUUAACUGUCUUUUCUUUUUCUACAAAUAAAUACAGCUGCUUUUUUGGUACC